rnacentral:rRNA from 1 species
UACGGAGGGUGCAAGCGUUGUCCGGAAUCAUUGGGCGUAAAGCGCGCGUAGGCGGCCCGGUAAGUCCGUUGUGAAAGUCAAAGGCUCAACCUUUGAACGCCGAUGGAUACUGCCGGGCUAGAGUCCGGAAGAGGCGAGUGGAAUUCCUGGUGUAGCGGUGGAAUGCGCAGAUAUCAGGAGGAACACCAAUAGCGAAGGCAGCUCGCUGGGACGGUACUGACGCUGAGGCGCGAAAGCGUGGGGAGCGAACAGG